GAUGAACGCUGGCGGCGUGCUUAACACAUGCAAGUCGAACGAUGAAGCCCAGCUUGCUGGGUGGAUUAGUGGCGAACGGGUGAGUAACACGUGAGUAACCUGCCCUUAACUCUGGGAUAAGCCUGGGAAACUGGGUCUAAUACCGGAUAGGAGCGCCUACCGCAUGGUGGGUGUUGGAAAGAUUUAUCGGUUUUGGAUGGACUCGCGGCCUAUCAGCUUGUUGGUGAGGUAAUGGCUCACCAAGGCGACGACGGGUAGCGGGCCUGAGAGGGUGACCGGCCACACCGGGACUGAGACACGGCCCAGACUCCUACGGGAGGCAGCAGUGGGGAAGAGUGCACAAUGGGAGAAAGCCUGAUGCAGCGACGCCGCGUGAGGGAUGACGGCCUUCGGGUUGUAAACCUCUGUCAGUAGGGAAGAAGCGAAAGUGACGGUACCUGCAGAAGAAGCACCGGCUAACUACGUG
rnacentral:rRNA from 1 species